UUCUCUUUUGCCAGAGUAAAUCUUCUCUGAGAGUGUUCUAUGACCAGUCACAGAGCUCUGGUUUUCCCUACAGAGUGGUGUUUGGAUGCAGAGAAGUUGCGCUCUGAAGCUCCCUGGCCUGUUUUCCCAGAAACCUAUGUGACCAGACUGUUUCUCCUCUCCUGUUCCUGUGACCAUCUCGAACCUGCUCCGGACUGGCACCCGGGAACACCGAAGGUUUGGCUGCAGCAGCUGCCCCAGCGCCGGAGGGACUGAGAACAGAGCAACCACCCCCGAAAGAGACUUUCUGAUUUUGUCAUCUUUCUCAGAGCGGUUCAUCGGGUAUUGUUCAUUUUGAGUGCUGGGGGGUGCUGUGCCUGAAAUAAACAGGUUCUUUCCA